AAGUGUCAGUGCGUCAUGUCCAACCCCCCCUUCUCAGUCUCUGUUGGUGUAUUAAAGGUAGGGUAGGCGUUUUUUGUGAGAAGCACUUUCUGUCAUAUUACUUGAAACCCUUGUAACAAACCGAUAGCGAUGAAUAGAUUGAAUUAUCCAACACUGAAACGAAAACAAUCCCUCAUCUGUGGCCGCGGCAGGACUGUAAAUUUACACGACCAAUCGGAAAGUUCUGACCGGAGAGAGUGAUUGGCUUUCUCCUGCCUGCGCGCACUCUGCUCGUUCACCACACAGUCGGGCGCGUGACCAGUCUCCUGCACAGCGUCGGCAAACAACUGGAGCUGCUGCCGCUGGAGACUACAGGAGGAGUGAACAGAGUAAACAUCGUGUGGCUCUUUACCGCUGGCGUCAACUCCGGGAGGAGAAGAGGGUGAAAGGUACAGCGAGUUGUACAUGAAGAAGUCCAGGACCUGGAAGUUUUACACACCGAAGGUUGUCUGCCACGGUCCAGAGCAACAACCAGACGAUCCCCGUCAACAGUUAGAGAAGCAGGUCAGCAGAGGACCAGGACCACUGCCUAAGAGUCGACGACAGCACAGCCUGACCCGUCAGCCGACAGACCUGCUUUGACACUAGAACUAGGAAACUCUGUGCAGAUAGUAUCUUCAUUGUUGUACAUAUGUUGUUUAUGCUAAUAUUAUAAUAUAUAUUUGGUAUAUGGUAUGAUGUUCCAAAAAAAUA